ensembl:lncRNA
GUGCGGGCAGCGCUGUCCGGGGCACGCCCAGCUUCUGCAUGCAAGAGAAACGCCCUGGCCCGCCCUUGCCCACGGAUUUUGGCUCCAGAGCAGCUUCUGCGGGAGGAGCCGGGCUCUGGGCGCUGCGAGCCCAGGCAAGACAGCCUUUAGGGCGGGUCCGCCGACCCCCAGGCCCACGGCCACCCACAGCCUCCGCUCGCCCCCUGCCGGCCGAGCCCAGAACGACAGCCCCGCCGGCCUCGGUCUGUGGGCAACACCCCAGAAUCAGCGGGAAGCGACCACCGGUCCCACGGGGAUGAGGACCCGCCUGGACAGCUCACGUGGGACAAGCUGGCUUUGCCGCCUACAUAUCUGACCACUUUAGACAGGGCCUCCUCCCUAGGGAGCCUUCUUGACUCACCUGAGCACAGCUGAUCUCCUGCUUCCUGCUGUGACUGCACUUGAGACGCUUUGGUAUGGUGGCUUCAAGAUUCAGAGGCGAGGUGACUCUGAAGAAUGGAAAUGGUGGGUUUGCUUUGUGUUUGUGGAACUAGGAAAGGAAGAUGGGAGAUCGAGAAGGUAGUGGUUAGGGGCAAUCUCAAAUGGAGGGAUUUGGGAUUAGGGGAGAUGGGAUUAUUGGAGUCGGGGGAGUAGCUCUGCUCCCUGGCUAGCAGAUGGGAGGAAGAUCCUGCCUGGUCCCUCCAGGACAGUAGGCCUGCAAUUCCACUGGUGGCCACGAGGUGUCAGUGGUGUCCCUGGGGCGGCUGGGUUGAGAGAGGGAGCUGGUAAAACAGAAAGCACUGCUUUUUGAAAAAUUCAGCAUUUGUCCAAUCCCAUAUUAAUGAGGUUAGAGCUGCAGCUCUUGCUUCUCCUGCCCUGCCACAGCUUAUGAUGAUAUUCACUGGUCCCCAUUCUCCCAGUAACCUACAUUGGGGACUGGGCAGGGCCCUCAUGCUGGCUGUGUCCACAGCCCUUUCUCCUGCAGUCAGGAAAGCCCAGAGUGUUGCAAACGAGUGAAAGUGACAAUGCUUGAAUCUGCCCUAAUUUUUUUUUAAAAGUUCAAUUAUUCACAGACUUUGGUACUUUAACACGAGUAAUAUGAUACCAAUGACAUACUUCAAGAUGGUGUGUGGUGACAUUGUAGGUAAGAAACACUGAGCUAGAAAUGCUGGGCAGGUUGCCCUCCUGGGACAGCAAAACUUCCAGCCAGGGGGCCGUUGCUGUCGGGCUUUUCCUGGUUAUCUUUUCAGAGAGGCCGCCGAACAGAGUGAUCAAGAGCACGGCUCUGGAGCCAGGCUGCCUGGGAGCAAGGCUUUCUCUUCCACUCGCCAGCUCUGAGAUCUUAGCGGCUCCUGGGGCACAUGCUUCUCAUGGAAAACGGCAGGAACUGAAAAGCCAGGCCGACCCUCACAGCACAUUUGAGGGUGCUCAUGACACGGUGCUAACAUCCUACUGCCAAAGCAGCGUCAUGGCCAGGUCUGUUACAGUGCAGUGGGAAAGGAUCUCCCCCAUAACAGGGCAAUUUGUGACGGACUGUGGCUUGCGGUGCAUGCAGCACAUCCAAGUUCACCGCAGCCAUGAGGAAACUGAGGCACAGAGAACUUCCUCAAAGUCAUUGGGUGUCACUGAGCUUCUGGUCAUGUGAGAUGGGUGACUGAGCACAGGUUUUCGAACAUCCAGACAAGCUGCCUUCUAUAACUCUGGAGCCUUCCCACCGUCAACCACAUAUGGACCCUGGGUCAGAGUUUGCGGAAUGAUUUACAGGGGAGAAGAUGCCACCAGGGAGAGGUGAAGCUGUUGUCUCAGGCUGCACAGCAAGUUGGUCCAGGGCCAGGAUCUGAAGCCAAGUCUCUCCAACGCCACUGCCUGAGCACUUUCUCCUCUGCUGCAACCUCUGUUGCUGGAGGGUGCCUUCCAGCCUGAAGGAGAGAGCUGAGAUUCCAGCCCCUCAGCUUCCCGGACUUCUCCGUGGCAUUUGCUGCCUGACCGCUGGCACCUUUCCUCCUAGAUUGUCCCUCCCAUCUCGUCUUUCCCGAACUUUCGCAGCAUGUGCAAGCUGCCCAGUUUCCUUAUCUGUAAAUUCAGCUUCCCAGGGUCCAUAGACUCAGAUGCCACCUCCUCAGAGAGGUCUUCCCGGAUCACACCAUGGGACCCACAGCCCAUCCCUCUCGCAGCGGGCGGAUUAUUUUUCACCUUCAUUUGUUUCCUGCCCACUAGAAUGGGCGUGACACAGAGGUGGGGGGUUGAUCCAGCGCCCUCACUCUUGCAUCCCAGCACCUGAGCCCAUGCCCGGCCGCACAGUGCUCAGUAUAUAAUUGCUGAGUGAAUAAACAAACGAAUUUAUGAUAAUAACAGCCACCGUUUCUGGAGUGUUCACUGUGUGCCAGGCACUGUGUCGAUCUUCAUAACAACCCCACGAGGAAGGUCAAUGAUUACACCCAUUUUACAGAUCAGGAAACUGAGUCAUACAGAGGUAAAAUAACUUGCCGGUGGUUUGCCUCUGGCCGUCUGCAUGUCUGACUCUAGUGCUCAUCAGAAUGCGUUGUCGCCUCAAAAGUGCCCUCAAACUCCAGUGGCUCGUAUCUACAGAGCUUCUCCUGGCCUUGCUAAGAGCUGACCUCUGGCCUCAGUGGAGCCCCGUGCAUGGCUCGCCCUCUCCCAGGCCCCUUGCUCUUGCCAAGAAGAGACGCACUGAGCCCCCACUGGAGCCCGGGGUACAGACAUCCUUUCCCUCUCACGGGUGAUGGUCCAAAAUUGAAAACAAAC